UACAGAGGUCUCAAGCGUUGUUCGGAUUCAUUGGGCGUAAAGGGCGCGUAGGCGGGCUGACAAGUCUGGGGUGAAAUGCCGCGGCUCAACCGUGGAACUGCCUUAGAUACUGUCGGCCUCGAGGAAGGUAGGGGCAUGCGGAACUGUAGGUGGAGCGGUGAAAUGCGUUGAUAUCUACAGGAACUCCGGUGGCGAAAGCGGCGUGCUGGACCUUUUCUGACGCUGAGGCGCGAAAGCUAGGGGAGCAAACGGG
rnacentral:rRNA from 1 species